rnacentral:lncRNA from 1 species
ACCUUGCUGUCGUAAUACUUUUCCCGCUUGUCAGUCUGGAUGGAGCGGAUGACGUUGCCGGCAUACUCAAUCACCAUCUCACCUGCAUCAAUGUUUCUCUUACAGAAAAGACCCCGGCCAUGGAUGGGAGACCUAGGACAAAGAUGGAAAAGAGAAUCAACUCUGCCUUAGGCGAACAAUUUACCAUAAUAUUCUGAGACAGGAGUGGAAUAACACCUCCAGCCAUUACCUGCAAAUGAGAGCUGCUUUAGGCGGGCAUUUGAUCGAGCUUCCUGGACUUUAUCUGUCAAUGACUUCCAGGCA